GGGGGGCGGGGGGGGGGGGGUGCGGGCGUGCAGGGCGAGGGGGGGGGCGCGGCGGUUGGGGGGUGCGCGAGGGGCGAGCGGGUGCGUCGCGCGUGGGUGACCUGCCCUUGCCUGUGGGAUAGCUUCAGGAAACUUGGGCCAAUACCGGCUCGGAGCUCCCGCCUCCUGGGUGGGGUUGGGAAGGUGCGGCGGUUGGUGGUGGACUCGCGGCUUAUCGGCUUGGCGGUGGGGUCGUGGCUUACCAGGGCGUGGACGGGUAGCCGGCCUGAGAGGGUGACCGGCCACAUUGGGACUGAGAUACGGCCCAGACUCCUACGGGAGGCAGCAGUGGGGAAUAUUGCACAAUGGGCGGAAGACUGAUGCAGCAACGCCGCGUGCGGGAUGACGGCCUUCGGGUUGUAAACCGCUUUCGCCUGUGACGAAGCGUGAGUGAAGGUAAUGGGUAAAGAAGCACCGGCUAACUACGUG
rnacentral:rRNA from 1 species